AGAGUUUGAUCAUGGCUCAGAUUGAACGCUGGCGGCAGGCCUAACACAUGCAAGUCGAGCGGAAACGAGUUAUCUGAACCUUCGGGGAACGAUAACGGCGUCGAGCGGCGGACGGGUGAGUAAUGCCUAGGAAAUUGCCCUGAUGUGGGGGAUAACCAUUGGAAACGAUGGCUAAUACCGCAUAACACCUACGGGUCAAAGAGGGGGACCUUCGGGCCUCUCGCGUCAGGAUAUGCCUAGGUGGGAUUAGCUAGUUGGUGAGGUAAUGGCUCACCAAGGCGACGAUCCCUAGCUGGUCUGAGAGGAUGAUCAGCCACACUGGAACUGAGACACGGUCCAGACUCCUACGGGAGGCAGCAGUGGGGAAUAUUGCACAAUGGGCGCAAGCCUGAUGCAGCCAUGCCGCGUGUGUGAAGAAGGCCUUCGGGUUGUAAAGCACUUUCAGUCGUGAGGAAGGUAGUGUAGUUAAUAGCUGCAUUAUUUGACGUUAGCGACAGAAGAAGCACCGGCUAACUCCGUGCCAGCAGCCGCGGUAAU
rnacentral:rRNA from 1 species